AUUCGCCCUUGGGGAAUUUUCCGCAAUGGGCGAAAGCCUGACGGAGCAAUACCGCGUGAGGGAGGAAGGCUCUUGGGUUGUAAACCUCUUUUCUCAGGGAAGAAGAAGGUGACGGUACCUGAGGAAUAGGCAUCGGCUAACUCCGUGCCAGCAGCCGCGGUAAUACGGAGGAUGCAAGCGUUAUCCGGAAUGAUUGGGCGUAAAGGGUCCGCAGGUGGCAUUGUAAGUCUGCUGUUAAAGAGUUUGGCUCAACCAAAUAAAAGCAGUGGAAACUACAAAGCUAGAGUGUGGUCGGGGCAGAGGGAAUUCCUGGUGUAGCGGUGAAAUGCGUAGAUAUCAGGAAGAACAUCGGUGGCGAAGGCGCUCUGCUAGGCCAAGACUGACACUGAGGGACGAAAGCUAGGGGAGCGAAUGGGAUUAGAUACCCCAGUAGUCCUAGCCGUAAACGAUGGAUACUAGGCGUAGCUCGUAUCGACCCGAGCUGUGCCGUAGCUAACGCGUUAAGUAUCCCGCCUGGGGAGUACGCAGGCAACUGUGAAACUCAAAGGAAUUGACGGGGGCCCGCACAAGCGGUGGAGUAUGUGGUUUAAUUCGAUGCAACGCGAAGAACCUUACCAAGGCUUGACAUGUCACGAAUUCCGUUGAGAGAUGGAAGUGCCUUCGGGAGCGUGAA
rnacentral:rRNA from 1 species